UUUUCUUUUUUUCUUUUUUUUUCCUUUUUUUUUCUGGUGAUUGCUUGAAGGUCUGAUCACAUUAAAUAGGAAGCUUGGCUCUUACAGCACUGGUCCCACCAAACCUUUUUCUCUUCCAAGGCAAAAUUUGGCCUUCAUGCUCAUGUGGACCCAUGCUACUACCUUUGAAGAUCAGCACUGCUAGUACAAGGAGGCAACUCCACUCUUCAUGAACAAGGGCAGCACACCUCCUGUACCAGCCAAAUGGUAGUUCAAGGGUGGAUGGCAUGAUUCAUGGGCACCUACACUAUACCUAACAGGCAGUUCAUUAACGUGCUCCUCAGAACCUCCAGUGUGCUGCGGAACUUCAGAGAGAGGUGGCAAAAUACAGCAUGCAGGAGAGCUGCGCAGCAGAGAUGGCCUCUGGAGAAGCUUCCUUAUCCUGAAGUAGCACACAGCAGAAGAGCCAUGGAGCAUGGUUCUUUCUAGCCCGAGCUGCAGCAUGAGGCACAGAAGG
rnacentral:lncRNA from 1 species